GACGUCCUGCACCUGCCUUACACAGGGCCAGCAGGGGCUCAUCCAUUUUACUUUCUCCAUCAGAAUGCCGUUGUGGGAGAACAACAAUGCAUAUGCCGACCUCGGUGACAGGCACAGCCGCUGCGAUGCCAGGGAGUGCCUUUGUCCCCAAGGCAGGGAGCACAGAGAGGAACGGGGGCCCUGGCAACUGCUCCUGUGCCGCUCCUGCGCUGCCGAGGGCACCCACAGAGGCUGCUGUGGCUUGAGGACCAGCGGGGCCCUCUGGGAGUGUGACAGCUGUGCUGGCCUGGGCACUGCCUCCAGUGCCAGCUCAGAGCUCGCUGGCCCCAGCACUGCCAGCCAGGCAGCACCAGGGCCGUCUCUUGGAUCUCCAGCACCAGAGACCGGCAGCCUCAGCACCACCAGCCAGGCAGGACCAGGGCCAU